UCUAUGUCUGGGACUGACAGUGACGCUAGUGACAGACACACUUUCUUUUAUGGUUUUUAUCCAUGGAUGUCUCUGGUUAUUACCUUUCUAUGACCGAUAUUUUUGUUACCUAAUCUCUAAUCUCUUGACUUACAUAAAUUGAAAUUUGGGUAUAGCGAAAUUUGUUUCAAUUACAGCUAUGUUGUCGUUAGCAAGAAUUGCCACAAGAAAUCUUUCUCAAAUCAAGAAUUACCAUACUUCGACCUUACCCCCAAAGCAUAGGGUGGGAUUAGCCCAUAAAGCUGUUCAUAUGGCUUUGUUUGCAGGAUCAAUGCUGAGUGUUCCCAUAUAUGUAUGUGUGAAUUUCAAAAAUUACAGAGGAUCUUAAUUUAUAUUCAAUUGAUGUGUUGUAGUAAUAUAUCUCUUGAUAGUUA